ncrna:unclassified sequences RAGATH-19 RNA
UUCGCAGUGAGUUGUUUCUGCACCUACCUUUACUAGAAAACAGCUAACUACCCUUUCUGAUAAAAAGGAUACAAGAAAAUCAGUUAGAACUGCACGUUCUAAACGCUUUGUAAGUAGAUGAAGAUACAAGCGUAAAUGGUAAUC